UACGUAGGUGGCAAGCGUUGUCCGGAUUUACUGGGCGUAAAGAGCGCGCAGGCGGUCGUUCAAGUCGCGUGUGAAAGCCCCCGGCUCAACUGGGGAGGGUCACGCGAUACUGAUCGACUCGAAGGCAGGAGAGGGAAGUGGAAUUCCCGGUGUAGUGGUGAAAUGCGUAGAUAUCGGGAGGAACACCAGUGGCGAAGGCGGCUCUCUGGGCCGGUACCGACGCUGAGGAGCGAAAGCUAGGGGAGCAAACAGG
rnacentral:rRNA from 1 species